AUUGAACGCUGGCGGCAUGCUUUACACAUGCAAGUCGAACGGCAGCGCGGGGCAACCUGGCGGCGAGUGGCGAACGGGUGAGUAAUAUAUCGGAACGUACCCAGAAGUGGGGGAUAACGUAGCGAAAGUUACGCUAAUACCGCAUACGAUCUACGGAUGAAAGUGGGGGACCUUCGGGCCUCAUGCUUGUGGAGCGGCCGAUAUCUGAUUAGCUAGUUGGUAGGGUAAAGGCUUACCAAGGCGACGAUCAGUAGCUGGUCUGAGAGGACGACCAGCCAGACUGGGACUGAGACACGGCCCAGACUCCUACGGGAGGCAGCAGUGGGGAAUUUUGGACAAUGGGCGCAAGCCUGAUCCAGCAAUGCCGCGUGAGUGAAGAAGGCCUUCGGGUUGUAAAGCUCUUUUGUCAGGGAAGAAACGGUGCGGACUAAUAUUCUGCGCUAAUGACGGUACCUGAAGAAUAAGCACCGGCUAACUACGUGCCAGCCGCCGCAGUAA
rnacentral:rRNA from 1 species